GCCGCUUUGAGAGGAGCAAGGCAAGGAAAAAGUCUUGCUACUCUGACGGCCGGAUAGGCAACACGAAAGACUAUCCUCGUGCUGGAACUAAAAACACUGAAUGUGCCUACACACCCUCCUCCCACGAAUCCUCGGGACCUCGAGCGCCGCCUAUUCCGCAACAACAGUACCGGCGGAGAGGCCCGGGGUGCAUGGACGGGUGCAUCCACAGGCGUGAACAAUCGUGAACAAGCGUGGGGUACGUGCAUGAUCAAGUAGCGGAGUAGGCGCACGGUACGAGCGUGAGCCGGAGUGAGAGCAAGUGUCGCACGGGGCGCGACUGUCGCUCGCUCCCUUUACCCGCUCUCAGGACCAUCAAGACAUCGAGGUACCAUCAUCUCGUCCUCCUCCACGGCACAGAAAGAAAUAGAAGCGCGCCAAACUAUUAGUGCAAACUAUAAGUGCCUAACAGUGUGCAGCAUAAAAAUGUGCAUGUUUUGCGCUCGCGGUCGUGGGUUUCCCGCGCAGCCAGAAGCGGCGGCCUCGGCUCCAGCGACAGCUGCUGCAAGUGUAGGGAAGCCCCACCGCCCCCGGCACCUCCCACGGCGGCCGUAACCAGUUUCGCUGUUUUUGUCGAGUCAUUAUGGACAAAAACAACGUUUUUUCCCGCUGUGUUGGAAUCACCGGACCUACUACUGCCAAGGGCCGGACAGGAGAGGCGCCUCCAGAUUUUCCACGUUAACAUCCUGCCUUCUAAUGUGACCGAAAGUCAACGAAAGCAGGAAACUAAUGCUGACCUUGAACGGGAAAAUCUAACUUGACAUUAUAUUUUGUUGGUGAAAGUGAA